rnacentral:lncRNA from 1 species
GCAAUUAGCAUAAAAUUCAUAGAUUCCUUCCUCUCGAAUGCUCUCAGGUCACUCUCCUUCCAAGCACUCACAUAACGAGAUUUUUUUUUUGGACACGCAGGAUAGUAUUAUUGAUGAUAUAAAAGCUAUACAUCACAGUCCCUCAAAAAAAAGUUGCCCGAUCAAAUUCUGCCAGAAGAGAAACCCCAUCAAAGAUUUAAGUCAAAACCACACAUAAGGCAUUCAAAUAUAUACUAGCAUACUCAGUGCACGCAUGUGCAAAUUUUGAAACAGUUAUUCGUAAAUGUGCAACAUCUAUACCAGAUACGAACAGAAAAAAGAAAGCCAAGAAACCUUAAUUAAAAUGAUAUAUAUUACGGGGAAAAAAAAAAAGAUAUGCAAAAUGCCUAAACGAUAACCUUUCACUUAAUUGACCAGCCAAGCAUAAAUCAAUGACCUAAAAUUCGGAUACAAUACCAGCAAAGCAUCUGCGACGUCGAUUCAAGACAAUGUCACAUGUCUUGCCAGAUUAAAAUGCUGAAUUAAAUGAAAAAAGCAAAGCAAGCAACAAAAGAAAUAUGAAAACCCUAAAAAACCGAUUCCUGCUGCAGAAAAACGAUCAAGAAAAAAGGAAACGAAAACAAAAGAACAUCAAUGCAUCAUUCAAAGACGUAAUCAGAACAACUUGAAAUCGAAAAUCGACGACACUCAAGCCCUAAUAGCAGAGUCGCGAUAAAGAAGAGAUUACCUACGGAGAAAAAGUGCUCCGAUUCGGAGCUGUAGGUAGAUGGAGAGUGCCUUUGUUCGACGAGGAAUCGGCGAGGCCUUGAAUCGAGCAGGGAUUUAUAGCGGUGAAGUAAGGGGGCGAAGACAGAGACGAAAUGCGAGUCCGCUUACAAAGGAGCGGAUUUUCUGAACAGAGAGUAGAUUCUGUUGAACAUAAUGAGCAGGCUUUAUUUAUAUAUGCUCUCCGUGGUAACAGUUCCUGUGUGUUGCAUUUAGUUUAUGCUAAAACGGGGUGCC